UACACGUCUUGGUGCAACAAAAUAUUCUUUGACUCUAAUAUCGAUGUUAGAUAUUAACUCGCGUGUGAACGUCAACUUUAGCUUUUGUGCGCUGCAUGAUUAUACUUAGAAUUUACUUAACUAGUUGACACCGAUUUGAGACUGGUGAACAACGUAAGGGAAGUGUGUCGCCUUCAGAUGAUGUGGUAUCGCCAGCUUUUUGCAAAAUAUGCCCACGUAGGUAACAUUCGCAAUGUAAUGUUGCCAGUUAUAAAACAAAAAGCCGAAGAAGUAUUUCCAAGAAAGUACCCAAGUUAGGUGUCAGAAGCGCAACGAUAAACUAAAAAAGUUGUCGUACGUUGUAGGUGAGGGUGCAACAAGAUUUUUUUUAUUUUUCAGGUUUUUCUCUAUCUUUCAGAUUUUUCUCUAUCUUUCAGGUUUUCCUUUUAUUUUCUUUUUCAGGUAGCACCUGAGCCUAGAUUUUUAAGCCACUACAAUUUUCACUUAAUCACAAUGAAUUGAGAGUAGUGUUUUAAAAAUCAAGUAAAUCACAUUGACUUAUCGAAGUAGUGUGAGAAACUGUCUUUAAAUAAAGAGACAAUUUCGCAAUUCAUGUUUAAACAGAAAACAACUUUUUAAUUAUGUAAAGAAUUUUUAGUACCUCAUAAAAAUAAUAAAAUAAAAGA